CAACUGAGCUCUCUCUCAGACCCAGUCCCAAAUUCCUGACAGAUGCAAGUCUCUGGGUGGUUUUGAUUGGCUGUUACCUUCUGACACCCUCGGGCCAGGGUUCUUGGAAAGGGUCAUGGAGUCCACAGCCAGGCUAGGGACCCAGCCUGGGGGUGUGACCAGGGACCCAGCAGGAGCACCCCACGGCCACCCCCUUGGCUGCCUGACCCAGACAGCAAGAGCUCUGGGGCCUCUGAGAUCAUUCGUUAUGCCCUCCUGCCGCCCAGAGUAGCACAGGAGGUGACACCAUGAAGAAACCUUCCCGGGUCACGUUGGGACAGACCGUGUGAGGUGCAGUCCUGGCCUCAUGAUGUGUCCAUGCGAUGGGGAAUUAAAAGAGCCAUGACAAGUCAUCAGUGUUUAACGGAAAGGUGUUGAAUGACGUCUAAAUUCCAGGUACUUUAUCAUCUCCCCUCCCCACAAAGCUGUUGAGAGAUAGUAUUAUCUGCCUGUUUAAUUUUAUAUUUGUUCUUUUGAGACAGAAACUCAGUGUGCAGCCCAGGCUGGCCUUGAACUUGCAGCAAUCCUCCUGCCUCAGCCUCCCAAGUGCUGGGAUUACAGUGUCUUCCCACACUUCCCAGGAGAUUUUCCUGCCUCAGCCUCCCACUGUGCUGGGAUUACAGUUGUGCACUACCACACCCAGACAGGUUUUCCCUACAUCUAACUUUGGUUCCCAUUGGUUGGAUGAUAUUGGGGAAUUCAAGUCCACCACCUCGGGCAGCUGUUCAAGGAAUCAGAUGUGGACCGGUCAAGUUCAUGAAGAAAACAGGCAGCUCCAAUUGGGCAUCGCCAGACUUUCCUUCUGGGAGAACAGGACAUAAAAAUUCCAAAACCACCUGUAAUCUACACAGGCAGGGCAACGGGA
ensembl:lncRNA